rnacentral:misc_RNA from 2 species
AACGCACAUUGCGCCCCUUGGUAUUCCGGGGGGCAUGCCUGUUCGAGCGUCAUUACACCAAUCAAGCAAUGCUUGGUAUUAGGCCUUCGUCCCCCGAGAGGGUGGGCGUGCCUCAAAACCUUCGGCGAAGUCACACCGGCUUUGGGCGUAGUAGAAUCUUCAAAACGUCUUACGGGCCCGGCGCGUCUUUUGCCGUCAAACCUCAAACUAUUUUACCAGGUUGACCUCGGAUCAGGUAGGGAUACCCGCUGAACUUAA